rnacentral:rRNA from 1 species
UACGUAGGCAGCAAGCGUUGUUCGGAGUUACUGGGCGUAAAGGGUGUGUAGGCGGCUUCGUAAGUUCGGUGUGAAAUCUCCCGGCUUAACUGGGAGGGUGCGCCGAAAACUGCGAAGCUGGAGCGCAGGAGAGGAAAGCAGAAUUCCUGGUGUAGCGGUGAAAUGCGUAGAUAUCAGGAGGAAUACCGGUGGUGAAGGCGGCUUUCUGGACUGCUGCUGACGCUGAUGAGCGAAAGCUAGGGGAGCAAACGGG